UGUGUGUGUGUGUGUGUGUGUGUGAGAAAAUCGCUCCAGUGUUCAGCCAAGCGUGCAGGCCUAAUCUCGGCGCUCUUCCACCGGCUAUCUGCUCUGUCCCCUGGGACAGUGAGCCUAUCAUCUAGCCCAGCGCUUUCACACAGGCCCUGGAGCUGAUUAGUCUUCUACACACUCUGGACACAAAUCCACACACCGCCAGUCUUGUGUGGGUCGUAGGAUUCUGAGCCUGAAGACAGAACUCCUUUCUCUGCAUGGUUUUCGUCAAAGAUCUCUGGUUUACUCCCACUUCUACCCAACAUGCUUUUCUCUGGACUGACUACGCAAGAAAACACCUGUGUCUGCUCCAGUUUAACAACUCAGGUGUCCCCAUCAAUUAGCCCUGAAUUUAUACUUUCAUUGAGAGUAUGCGUCUAAUAUCUACACUGCCUCAGAAGAAAGACAGUUUUCACGACCGCCCAACAAUCUGCUAAGUGAAAACACGUGUCCGAAGCUCAGGCCCUGCCUGUAAGGGGUCCUAGGUCCAAUAGGAAGCAGGUGCUCCACUUUUUUUGCCACGUAAUACCCCAUUUAGCCCCAGGGCCAAAGGUUAUGCAGCUAAUAGCUGCCUGGUGCAGGGCGGGGAAGAGCCAUGCACGAGGCCAGGCUAAAACAUCUGGGACGUAUUGCACAUACUUGCAACAUGUGCUUCAGGUUCAAUUAAAAUGAGGCCUUGGCACAUUUAUUCAUCCUUUUUUUACUCUGAAACCUUCCUCCAGUAAAAAAGGGCCUCCCCUGACCUGACCUUAAUAUUUUACUAUUUGAGCAAACAGAAGAAGUAAUGAGAGUGCAGGGUCUUAGACUCACUUAGAGAGAGAGAGAGAGAGAGAGAGAGAGAGAGAGAGAGAGAGAGAGAGAGAGAGAG